rnacentral:rRNA from 1 species
GUGCCAGCAGCCGCGGUAAGACGGAGGAUGCAAGCGUUAUCCGGAAUUAUUGGGCGUAAAGCGUACGUAGGCUGUUUGAUAAGUCUGUUGUCAAAGCCCGAGGCUCAACCUUGGAUCGGCAAUGGAAACUGUGAGACUAGAGAGAGAUAGGGGCAGGAGGAAUUCCAGGUGUAGCGGUGAAAUGCGUAGAUAUCUGGAAGAACACCAGUGGCGAAAGCGUCCUGCUGGAUCUCAACUGACGCUGAAGUACGAAAGCUAGGGGAGCGAAUGGGAUUAGAAACCCCCGUAGUCC